rnacentral:rRNA from 1 species
GGAAUCUUCCACAAUGGACGAAAGUCUGAUGGAGCAACGCCGCGUGAGUGAAGAAGGGUUUCGGCUCAUAAAACUCUGUUGUUAAAGAAGAACAUAUCUGAGAGUAACUGUUCAGGUAUUGACGGUAUUUAACCAGAAAGCCACAGCUAACUACGUGCCAC